AACGAACGCUGGCGGCAUGCCUAACACAUGCAAGUCGAACGAGACCUUCGGGUCUAGUGGCGCACGGGUGCGUAACGCGUGGGAACCUGCCCUUAGGUUCGGAAUAACUCCCCGAAAGGGGUGCUAAUACCGGAUAAUGUCUUCGGACCAAAGAUUUAUCGCCUUUGGAUGGGCCCGCGUUGGAUUAGCUAGCUGGUAGGGUAAAAGCCUACCAAGGCGACGAUCCAUAGCUGGUCUGAGAGGAUGAUCAGCCACACUGGGACUGAGACACGGCCCAGACUCCUACGGGAGGCAGCAGUGGGGAAUAUUGGACAAUGGGCGAAAGCCUGAUCCAGCAAUGCCGCGUGAGUGAUGAAGGCCUUAGGGUUGUAAAGCUCUUUUACCCGGGAUGAUAAUGACAGUACCGGGAGAAUAAGCUCCGGCUAACUCCGU
rnacentral:rRNA from 1 species